GAUGAACGCUGGCGGCGUGCCUAAUACAUGCAAGUCGAGCGAACGGACGAGGAGCUUGCUUCACUGAUGUUAGCGGCGGACGGGUGAGUAACACGUGGAGAAUCUACCUAUAAGACUGGGAUAACUUCGGGAAACCGUAGCUAAUACCGGAUAAUAUUUUGAACCGCAUGGUUCAAAAGUGAAAGACGGUAUUGCUGUCACUUAUAGAUGGAUCCCGGCUGCAUUAGCUAGUUGGUAAGGUAACGGCUUACCAAGGCAACGAUUCAUAGCCGACCGGAGAGGGGGACCGCCGCCAUGGGACCUGGAACACGCUCAAGAUCCCUACGGGAGGCAGCAUAAGGGAACCUGCGGCAAUGGGGGAAAUCCUGACGGAGCAAGCCGGCGUGAGUAAUAAAGUUCUUCGGUUCGUAAAACUCGGUUAUUAGGGAAAACCAUAUGUGGAAGUAAAUGUGCACAUAGUGACGGUAACUACUCAGAAAGCCACGGCUAACUACGUG
rnacentral:rRNA from 1 species